AUUCAAAUAGCUUAAAUUAGAGCAUGAUAUUGAAGCUAUUAUGGUGAUUAUAUAAUCUUUGGAUA
rnacentral:tRNA from 1 species